rnacentral:rRNA from 1 species
UACAGAGGGGGCAAGCGUUGUUCGGAAUUACUGGGCGUAAAGGGCGCGUAGGCGGCCCGCUAAGUCGAACGUGAAAUCCCCGAGCUCAACUCGGGAACUGCGUCCGAUACUGGCGGGCUUGAAUCCGGGAGAGGUGAGUGGAACUGCGAGUGUAGAGGUGAAAUUCGUAGAUAUUCGCAAGAACACCAGUGGCGAAGGCGGCUCACUGGCCCGGUACUGACGCUGAGGUGCGAAAGCGUGGGGAGCAAACAGG